CUAAUUUGACAUGUAUAAAUAGUGACACUUUCUUCAAUUUUCGAGGACCAACAACUAACCCUUAUUUUCACGCAUCGAUUUUCUCUACUUUUUCCUACACAACCACUAUACACGAUCAACCUUUUUCAGGAAAAAGAAUGGCAAUGAACAUCAAAAGCAGAAGAAUUGAGAUAAAUCCGAAUCUGCCGCCACCGAAGCAACAACAGCAUCUUGACCUUUAUCAAACUCAGUCCAUCGUCUUCCAUUCCAAAUAAUUUACAUAAACAUUGUUUCUCACAUUAAAGCAAUACACAGAAAUAUUUCAUAACAAUUUAACAUCACAAACAUUCCAACUUUCUCUUUUUAUUAUUUGCUAGAAUAUCACACAUAAUUAAGUUGUUUUGUUUGCAGAAACAAAAAAGGAUGAGAAUUGAAACAAGCCGAAAACACCGAUGCGACGCUGAAUCUUCAGUCCGAAUGGCCACUCGGUUCUGACCCUCUCUGCGUCAACCACUCACUCGCGACCCCUCUGAAGUCGCACCGCCCAACCACCAUGCCGAACUCGAACUCGUCGGUGAAAUUUCUUUGGGUUUUUCUAACUUUCUUUACACUAUUAUGUUCAUCUUGACACACUGACUAAUAACCACAUAUCAAUUGCUUGAAACUUUGCUUAAUGGCUAUUUCAUCUGAGAUUCAAUGUUUAGGGUUUGUAUUAUAUGAUAAAAUUAAAGGAUUCUGCUUAAGAUUCUGAGAAUUUGGUGCUUGGAUUCAAAUAGGAUACAAAGGAACAAAGAGAUCCUUAUCUUUGUUUUCGAUUUAGGUCGAGUUUUGAGGUUGGUUGAAUCGGCCAUGGCUGAGUUUGGAACGAAGAAGAUACGAGGUCCGAAAGAGAGAUGGUUUUCCAUCACGUGUUCACUGACUGGUUAUUCUCAAAUACGCUCCGACUACGCGCCACGUCAAAUACGAAGCUAAGUAUUCGAUUCAUUUAAAUUUCAAAGUCUAUUUGGUUUCCUUUGAUUUUAGGGUUUGCCCUUAUAUUUAAUGAACUAUGCAUACAUUCACUCUUUUGCUUCUGCCUUUCCCCUUUUUCAGGAUCAACCCUGAAGGCGCCUUAGCAACCAUAUCAAAUCAAAUUCAAAAGCUAAGUAUUAUCUCGUAUCUAAUUCAAAUAAUCGUUUUUAUUUUAUUUUGUUUCCUUAGUAAAUUAGGGAUAAAAUUAAAUAUCAAUGAAUUGCCUGUACACUCACGCCUUAUUUGUUUCUUUGCUCAUUCCUAAUGGUCAGAGUUGAUGCUUCUGGCAAACCCUUGCCCUCAACCCUGUCAGGCAAAUGCCAAGCUAAGUACCUUCUCCCUAUGCUAUUUUUAAUUUAUUAUCCUAUUUUCUUUUGUAGUUAAUGAGGUUUGCCCUCGAACUUGAUAAUGCACUCACUAUAUGUUUUCUGUCUUGUCUUUUCCCUUUUCAGGGUUUAUCAAUUGCCAAAGCUACGUUGUUGGUAACCCUAAACCUCAUUUUAUUUCAUGCCUUUUAUUAUUAUUACUUGUGUCAAACCCUGAUAAGGGAUCCGCUGGUUACAAUUUCCCGCCCCCUUUAUUGCUUUAUAUUAUUGCGUGGUUAGUAAUCUUAGGGAGUGCAAGGCUUAAACUGAAUUAGAAUAACUAAUUAAAAGAUAAAUAUCUGAACAUAAUCACGUGAUUGUUGCACACACGCACGCUUUUGGGGUAACCUCUCUGUUGCCUUGUUGCCUGUUGCCUGUUGCCUUUGUGUUUUUUUGCAGAAUAAGCCAUGUCCCUCGAAUAUGAGGAUACCUCAGCCAUGUUGCCUCGAUAAAAAGGUCACGACCCUGAAUGAUGCUGCCUUCGAUACACAAAUGACCUCGACCCUCGGAAGUUGCCUACGGAAAAAGGCUGAGGUAUCUUCUGGUUGCCUAACGAAAAAUGGCUUAUUCUGAUCCUUGCCUUAGACUACCUGCCCCUCUAUGGCAUGGGACAGUCUUAUGGCAAAGGAUGCUUCGAUGACCCUUCAUACCUCCAAACGAAAGGCUUCCUGCCCUCUUAUGGCAAGGAUUGACCCUUUCAUUCUGAAAGGCUAAAAAGAGACUUAUCAUCCGAGUUUAAGGUAAUUGCCCCUAAUUGCCUUGCCAUGCUCUAUUUUCUAUAUUCUUUCUCAAAAUUCUUCAAAAACUGGCUACGCUCAUUUUACGAGCUAAAGUCCAUUUUUUCCUCUUUCAUCUACAUUUUCUGAAAACGAGCAAGCAAAGCAAUUAAGAGCCCAUGGAAAACCAUGGAUGCAAAGGGUGCCUUACACCUUCCCUUUGCAUAAAUUACCCCCCGAACUUAGAUUUCUUUAAAAGGUUUUUUUCUGUUUCUUUUAGCCUUUCUGAAUUUGUUUGGAUAAAAUAAAAGUCGGUGGCGACUCAUGCUUAACCGCGACAUUUC